rnacentral:lncRNA from 1 species
UAAGCAUAGCUACUAAGAAUUGGGCAUUGUCCCAAAUUAUAAGUUACAGCCAUUAGCCGAGUACUAGGCCAAUGGCCUAUCCCCUACUAUUACGUGAAACUCAGCAAAGCAAAAAGGCUAAGAAGAUGGAUGUGAUGAUGGCUACGGGAUGGCAGUUGGCCAACUCUUCUUUACCCAACAUUCCCUUUCAUUUUCCUUUGGAGCAGACCAUGGUGCAAUGCCAUGAACUGGGCACUCAGUUCUCUAUAAAUAACACCCUCUCCUUCUCA